UACGGAGGAGGCAAGCGUUAUCCGGAAUUAUUGGGCGUAAAGCGUCCGUAGGUGGUUAUUCAAGUCAGUUGUUAAAGCGUGGGGCUUAACUCCAUAAGGCAAUUGAAACUGAAUAGCUAGAGUGCGAUAGGGGCAAGGGGAAUUCCCAGUGUAGCGGUGAAAUGCGUAGAUAUUGGGAAGAACACCGGUGGCGAAAGCGCCUUGCUGGGUCUGCACUGACACUGAGGGACGAAAGCUAGGGGAGCGAAAGGG
rnacentral:rRNA from 1 species